rnacentral:rRNA from 1 species
GAUCAUGGCUCAGGAUGAACGCUAGCUACAGGCUUAACACAUGCAAGUCGAGGGGCAGCAUCAUCAAAGCUUGCUUUGAUGGAUGGCGACCGGCGCACGGGUGGGUAACACGUAUCCAACCUGCCGACAACACUGGGAUAGCCUUUCGAAGGAAAGAUUAAUACCGGAUGGCAUAGUUUUCCCGCAUGGGAUGAUUAUUAAAGAAUUUCGGUUGUCGAUGGGGAUGCGUUCCA